UGGGGAAUAUUGCACAAUGGGCGCAAGCCUGAUGCAGCCAUGCCGCGUGUAUGAAGAAGGCCUUCGGGUUGUAAAGUACUUUCAGUCGGGAGGAAGGUGGUAAGGUUAAUAACCUUGGCAAUUGACGUUACCGACAGAAGAAGCACCGGCUAACUCCGUGCCAGCAGCCGCGGUAAUACGGAGGGUGCAAGCGUUAAUCGGAAUUACUGGGCGUAAAGCGCACGCAGGCGGUUGAUUGAGUCAGAUGUGAAAUCCCCGGGCUUAACCCGGGAAUUGCAUCUGAUACUGGUCAGCUAGAGUCUUGUAGAGGUGGGUAGAAUUCCAUGUGUAGCGGUGAAAUGCGUAGAGAUGUGGCGGAAUCCCGGUGGCGAAGGCGCCCCCCUGGACAAAGACUGACGCUCAGGUGCGAAAGCGUGGGGAGCAAACAGG
rnacentral:rRNA from 1 species